rnacentral:lncRNA from 1 species
GAUCGCAGCAAUGCCUGAGGUUCUAAAAUAGCCACACAGUCAUCUGGCCUCUAUCAAUAUCCACUCAAAUAGGAUCUAGAUCAUAUUCUCCUCACAAAUCUUUGCUCCAAAAAUUAGAUCUGGAUCUGAUCUGGAAGUUCUUCAAAAGAGCUUCUGAAGCUGGAGCAGCAGUUUCUCGACAGAUUGCUGCAGCCUCCUGAUCAAGGAGCCACCAUGCCUUGGAC